GUGGGGAAUAUUGGACAAUGGGGGGAACCCUGAUCCAGCCAUGCCGCGUGUGUGAAGAAGGCCUUUUGGUUGUAAAGCACUUUAAGCGAGGAGGAGGCUACCGAGAUUAAUACUCUUGGAUAGUGGACGUUACUCGCAGAAUAAGCACCGGCUAACUCUGUGCCAGCAGCCGCGGUAAUACAGAGGGUGCAAGCGUUAAUCGGAUUUACUGGGCGUAAAGCGCGCGUAGGUGGCCAAUUAAGUCAAAUGUGAAAUCCCCGAGCUUAACUUGGGAAUUGCAUUCGAUACUGGUGGGCUAGAGUAUGGGAGAGGAUGGUAGAAUUCCAGGUGUAGCGGUGAAAUGCGUAGAGAUCUGGAGGAAUACCGAUGGCGAAGGCAGCCAUCUGGCCUAAUACUGACACUGAGGUGCGAAAGCAUGGGGAGCAAACAGGAUUAGAAACCCCAGUAGUCC
rnacentral:rRNA from 1 species